rnacentral:rRNA from 1 species
AUUGAACGCUGGCGGCAUGCCUUACACAUGCAAAUCGAACGGUAACGGGCCUUCGGGUGCCGACGAGUGGCGAACGGGUGAGUAAUACAUCGGAACGUGCCCGAUCGUGGGGGAUAACGAGGCGAAAGCUUUGCUAAUACCGCAUACGAUCUACGGAUGAAAGCAGGGGACCGCAAGGCCUUGCGCGGACGGAGCGGCCGAUGGCAGAUUAGGUAGUUGGUGGGAUAAAAGCUUACCAAGCCGACGAUCUGUAGCUGGUCUGAGAGGAUGAUCAGCCACACUGGGACUGCGACACGGCCCAGACUCCUACGGGAGGCAGCAGUGGGGAAUUUUAGACAAUGCGCGCAAGCCUGAUCCAGCAAGGCCGCGUGCAGGAUGAAGGCCUUCGGGUUGUAAACUGAUUUUGUACGGAACGAAAAGCCUUCUUUUAAUACAGGAGGGUCAUGACGGUACCGUAAGAAUAAGCACCGGCUAACUACGUG